CACUCCGAAUCUCAACGAAGACAUCAAUCUUUCAUCAUCGCGAACCCUAAUCGCGAUGUUUAUCAACGAAGACAUCAAUCUUUCUUCCUUUUAUCAAUCUAUUUAAGGAUGACGGCGAUUCAAGCCGAUUGGUGAAGAUUUCACAAAAUCAAUGAAGAAUCUAGCCUCUCAGCUUCAGAUUUACAGAAGAAGAAUGAAGGUGUGCUGGGGUGACGGCUGGAUCUGGAUGUUAUUUAGGGUUUCGCUUGAAGUUGAGGAAGAAGAAAGGUAUAUAGUGGUCAUUUGAGGUUUAGAUUAAAGAGUUUUGGUGGUGGAGGGAAACAAAAAGAAAGAAGACUAAUUUUUUCGUAUUCAAAAGUGUGUUUGAAACAUGUUGCAGCUGAUAUAUUUUAAGGUUUCAAUGUUUUGAAGAAAGAAAGUAAGCAUAGUUUUUCUUUUAAUUUGAUAUGAGAAAAAGGUUGUAGCUCAAAAUGUGGUAUUUAAUAUAUUUGUUGGUUUCACAGUAUCUUUAAUAUUUGAAAUUUUCUAUUAGUUCUUAAGGUUUUGAUUUAUGUAACACAAUCUUUGCACAUUAUUUAUAU